AAGUCGUAACAAGGUUUCCGUAGGUGAACCUGCGGAAGGAUCAUUAACACGUCUAUUAUUAUCCAAUAAUAAUAUUACAAAAAACAAACGGUCACCUUUUUCCCUCCCUACUUCGUUACUGGAGACAGUACGAUUAGGCUAACCUUUUUUACUAUUCAAACCCCUUUAAAUAAAAAUUUAACUAUUCGUUCUGCUGUAAAAGGCUUAACGAACUAACUAAAAUAUACAUUGAUUAUAUUUUUCUUUACGAAAUCAUAUAACAUAUAAGAAAACAACUCUUAGCAAUGGAUAUCUUGGUUCUC
rnacentral:misc_RNA from 1 species